rnacentral:rRNA from 2 species
UACGGGGGGAGCAAGCGUUGUUCGGAUUUACUGGGCGUAAAGGGCGCGUAGGCGGCUUGGCAAGUGGAAGGUGAAAUCCCUCGGCUUAACCGAGGAACUGCCCUCCAAACUGCUUUGCUUGAGGCCGGGAGAGGUGAGUGGAAUUCCCAGUGUAGCGGUGAAAUGCGUAGAUAUUGGGAGGAACACCAGUGGCGAAGGCGGCUCACUGGACCGGUUCUGACGCUGAGGCGCGAAAGCGUGGGGAGCAAACGGG